rnacentral:rRNA from 1 species
AGAUUGAACGCUGGCGGCAUGCCUAACACAUGCAAGUCGAACGGCAGCGCGGGUAGCAAUACCUGGCGGCGAGUGGCGGACGGGUGAGGAAUACAUAGGAAUCUACCCUGUCGUGGGGGGAUAACGUAGGGAAACUUACGCUAAUACCGCAUACGACCGAGAGGUGAAAGCGGCGGACCGCAAGGCGUCGCGCGGCUGGAUGAGCCUAUGUCCGAUUAGCUAGUUGGCGGGGUAAGAGCCCACCAAGGCGACGAUCGGUAGCUGGUCUGAGAGGAUGAUCAGCCACACUGGGACUGAGACACGGCCCAGACUCCUACGGGAGCAGCAGUGGGGAAUAUUGGACAAUGGGCGCAAGCCUGAUCCAGCAAUCGCCGGCGUGUGUGAAAGAACGGCCGUUGGGUACGUAAAGACACUUUUAGGUUGGGUAAAGAAAAGACACGUAGGUUAAUUACCCUAGGUCGUUGUGUAACGGUAACC